AGAGUUUGAUCCUGGCUCAGAUUGAACGCUGGCGGCAUGCCUUACACAUGCAAGUCGGACGGCAGCGCGGGGGCAACCCUGGCGGCGAGUGGCGAACGGGUGAGUAAGACAUCGGAACGUGUCCUGGAGUGGGGGAUAGCCCGGCGAAAGCCGGAUUAAUACCGCAUACGAUCCGGGGAUGAAAGCGGGGGACCUUCGGG
rnacentral:rRNA from 1 species